CCUACGGGUGGCAGCAGUGGGGAAUAUUGGACAAUGGGGGCAACCCUGAUCCAGCCAUGCCGCGUGUGUGAAGAAGGCCCUCGGGUUGUAAAGCACUUUCAGUGAGGAAGAACGCCUGGUGGUUAAUACCCAACAGGAAAGACAUCACUCACAGAAGAAGCACCGGCUAACUCCGUGCCAGCAGCCGCGGUAAUACGGAGGGUGCGAGCGUUAAUCGGAAUUACUGGGCGUAAAGCGCGCGUAGGUGGCUUGAUAAGCCGGUUGUGAAAGCCCCGGGCUCAACCUGGGAACGGCAUCCGGAACUGUCAAGCUAGAGUGCAGGAGAGGAAGGUAGAAUUCCCGGUGUAGCGGUGAAAUGCGUAGAGAUCGGGAGGAAUACCAGUGGCGAAGGCGGCCUUCUGGACUGACACUGACACUGAGGUGCGAAAGCGUGGGUAGCAAACAGGAUUAGAUACCCUAGUAGUC
rnacentral:rRNA from 1 species